rnacentral:sRNA from 1 species
AAAAACCAUCGUGAAAAUUGCGCCUUCUUCCCCGAUCGCGUAUACUUUUUUCGUUGACGUAAUACAGUGUGCUUGCGGCUACCAACCGUAAAAACACCGAACAGAAAACCUCGCCGCGGCGGGGUUUUUU